ACAUCAUGCUAGCUGUUUUUAGCAUUUGAAAUGACAGUUUAAAAUCACAGUCAAACUUCAUCUGGAGAGAAUAAAUCUGACAGUACAACUUUAAGACCAAAUUAAAUAUUCGUCGCGCCGCUAAGUGUUUCACACUAUAAUGUACACGCAAAAGUACAACACUAUUUCACAAGCUUAAAUUAGAUCUACAGAGUUAAUUUUUUUCACAAGUAAAGCUUAAAUGUCCUAUUUUUGUGGGAGCUUACGUUUCUUGCCAUAGUCGCCCGAAGUUGAUCACGAGAGUGAAUGUAAACAUGACAACGCCGAAUGUGUCCUAUAAUUGACGCAUGCCGGUAAUUGACGCAGCUCCGCUAAGAGUUUUGUUUUUGACAACAUAACAACCCUACAUAUUGCACCCUGAACUGUCCCAAAUAGACGGCGCAGCUAGUUUAACGACAGUUAAUGUCAGAUCAGCUAAGGUCGACGUCUGUCCUCACUGACCGGACGACUAAAGUUAAAAUAGUAAACCAAUUUGGCCUACCGUGAGUAUAAUUGAUCAGUAUCCUAUUUAGCGACCAGUGUAUCGCUUUCAGUUACCACAUCUUCAAUGGUGACACAGCAGAAAAUAGAAGUGGCUGUAAUAGAUUUCGAAAGCUGAAGCAGGAAUACCUUUUCGUUUUACAGAGGUCUGGAGGAUCUCCUUUUCGCAUGUGGAGAAGGAAAUCAUGAAAAACCACGGCUCAGAAAAAAACCUGCUGCGAGAAAAAGGGGGCAAAAUGCUGCAGAAAGCAGUGUCUGAAACUACUGAAGCACCUUCUGGGGGAACUCAAGGACGAACACCCGAAGUUCUGCUCCUACCACGCCAAGACCACUCUCCUGCAUGCCUGCACAGAGCGAACUAGUGAUGGCGAGUGGGGGCUCUCCAAUCUUCACGAUUGCUUCCAGCUUCUGCUGCAGGAUUUCGUGAGACACUUGAAGCGUAAAACACUGCCAAAUUUCUUCAUUCCCCAGCAUAACCUCCUCGGCUCUGUCGGCGUUAAGACCUGCAAUGAUCUUGCGACCUGUAUAGAAUAUGAACUCAACAACAGGUUCCCAAUUUUCAAAGAAUAUCUUCUUAAGGACUAACCAAAGCAGUUUUCGAUUUAUGUUUUGAUAUUGUUUACAUUUGUAUUGUUUAAUGAUGUAUGCAACCAAAAUAAAUCAAUAAAAUACACAA